rnacentral:rRNA from 1 species
UUUAUGGAGAGUUUGAUCCUGGCUCAGGAUGAACGCUGGCGGCGUGCCUAAUACAUGCAAGUCGAGCGAACGGACGAGAAGCUUGCUUCUCUGAUGUUAGCGGCGGACGGGUGAGUAACACGUGGAUAACCUACCUAUAAGACUGGGAUAACUUCGGGAAACCGGAGCUAAUACCGGAUAAUAUUUUGAACCGCAUGGUUCAAAAGUGAAAGACGGUCUUGCUGUCACUUAUAGAUGGAUCCGCGCUGCAUUAGCUAGUUGGUAAGGUAACGGCUUACCAAGGCAACGAUGCAUAGCCGACCUGAGAGGGUGAUCGGCCACACUGGAACUGAGACACGGUCCAGACUCCUACGGGAGGCAGCAGUAGGGAAUCUUCCGCAAUGGGCGAAAGCCUGACGGAGCAACGCCGCGUGAGUGAUGAAGGUCUUCGGAUCGUAAAACUCUGU